UAACGAAUCUUCCGCAAUGGGCGAAAGCCUGACGGAGCAAUGCCGCGUGUGGGAUGAAGCGUCUCUGACUGUAAACCACUGCAGGGGGUAGAACCCCAGAGGAAGAGCCGGCUAACCCUGUGCCAGCAGCCGCGGUAAUACAGGGGGCUCAAGCGUUACUCGGAAUCACUGGGCUUAAAGGGUGCGUAGGCGGACCUGUAAGUGUUCUGUGAAAGCCCACGGCUCAACCGUGGAACAGCAGGGCAUACUGCAGGUCUUGAGGCAGGUAGGGGCCGCCGGAACAGUAGGUGGAGCGGUGAAAUGCGUAGAUAUCUACUGGAACGCCGAUGGGGAAGCCGGGCGGCUGGGCCUGUCCUGACGCUGAGGCACGAAAGCGUGGGGAGCAAAC
rnacentral:rRNA from 1 species